rnacentral:rRNA from 1 species
GGUAAUUCUAGAGCUAAUACAUGCUAAAACCCCUGCCGCUUGCGCGUGGGGAGCAUUUAUUAGAUACCAGAAUCAGCGGCCUUCGGGUCUUACUGAGGACUCAUAAUAACUCAAGCAGAUCGGGCUCAGCCCGGCGUAUCAUUCAAGUUUCUGACCUAUCAGUUAGUCGGUAGUGUAUUGGACUACCGAGGCGUUGACGGGUAACGGAGAAUUAGGGUUCGAUUCCGGAGAGGGAGCCUGAGAAACGGCUACCACAUCUAAGGAAGGCAGCAGGCGCGUAAAUUACCCAAUCCUGACUCAGGGAGGUAGUGACAAGAAAUCACAAUAUUUGGCUCUUAUGGGUUAAGUAAUUGUAUUGAGAACAGGCUAAACAUGUUAACGAUAAACCAUU